AAAGAAUCACUUUUUCUAAGUAUGUCGGAGUGAUUGAGCAGAGAGAAAAAUGAAUACCCUAAGCGAACUAGAAAUCUGGAAAGAACCGAAAUAGAGGCAGUGUCUCAUGACACUUUACUUGAGGACUCACCUGAUGAACUGCUGAUCAACUCUAUAAUUUUUCUUUCUAGGAUUCCUUCACCUAACCAGAACUGACUUCAUCAGAGAGUUAUGAUGGUUAACUCUAUCAGUCUUCUACCUGAAUGCCCCAAGAUAUUGAUGAAGUCAACAAAAACAUUGAGCCUCAGAACACAAGAAAUCUUGGACAAACUGGGAGACAGCUUGUCAGUAUCUAAGGUUGCCAUCUGGAGUUUUAAGUAAUUGUCUACUACUGAAGAAACAAGACCCAGCAGACCCUCAGAUGGAACUGAAGUCUCUGUCUUGUCCUGGAGAUGUCCCCCAUCUCCUCAUCCCCAUCAGCUGAGGAUUUCCAUUUGUUUACAUGGCCCUCCAGGAUCUCUCCUGCACUUCCCCAGACUUGAUCCUGAAGCCUCCAUUUCCCUCCCUAUAGAAAAGAGCAGGUCUCAUGGUGAUAUCAACUUAACACUGCAGUAACAAGAUGCAAUAAGAGGAGACAUAAACUCUCACAUCAAGGCUUGAAGAAGUAACCCAGCAG
rnacentral:lncRNA from 1 species